rnacentral:rRNA from 1 species
CAGCCAUCCCGCGUGUGCGAUGAAGGCCUUCGGGUUGUAAAGCACUUUUGGCAGGAAAGAAACGUCGUGGGUUAAUACCCCGCGNAACUGACGGUACCUGCAGAAUAAGCACCGGCUAACUACGUGCCAGCAGCCGCGGUAAUACGUAGGGUGCAAGCGUUAAUCGGAAUUACUGGGCGUAAAGCGUGCGCAGGCGGUUCGGAAAGAAAGAUGUGAAAUCCCAGAGCUUAACUUUGGAACUGCAUUUUUAACUACCGAGCUAGAGUGUGUCAGAGGGAGGUGGAAUUCCGCGUGUAGCAGUGAAAUGCGUAGAUAUGCGGAGGAACACCGAUGGCGAAGGCAGCCUCCUGGGAUAACACUGACGCUCAUGCACGAAAGCGUGGGGAGCAAACAGGAUUAGAUACCCUGGUAGUCCACGCCCUAAACGAUGUCAACUAGCUGUUGGGGCCUUCGGGCCUUGGUAGCGCAGCUAACGCGUGAAGUUGACCGCCUGGGGAGUACGGUCGCAAGAUUAAAACUCAAAGGAA